rnacentral:rRNA from 1 species
CCGGAGUCCCUGAUUUCACACUGCCAAGAAAAGCCUCUAGCGAGGCGGGAGGUGCCCGUACCGCAAACCGACACAGGUAGGCGAGAAGAGAAUUCUAAGGUGAGCGAGUGAACUCUCGUUAAGGAACUCGGCAAAAUGACCCCGUAACUUCGGGAGAAGGGGUGCUCUGGUAGGGUGAAUAGCCCGAGAGAGCCGCAGUGAAUAGGCCCAGGCGACUGUUUAGCAAAAACACAGGUCUCUGCAAAACCGUAAGGUGACGUAUAGGGGCUGACGCCUGCCCGGUGCUGGAAGGUUAAGGGGAGUGCUUAGCGCAAGCGAAGGUGCGAACCGAAGCCCCAGUAAACGGCGGCCGUAACUAUAACGGUCCUAAGGUAGCGAAAUUCCUUGUCGGGUAAGUUCCGACCCGCACGAAAGGCGUAACGAUCUGGGCACUGUCUCAACGAGAGACUCGGUGAAAUUAUAGUAC